rnacentral:rRNA from 1 species
UACGAAGGGUGCAAGCGUUACUCGGAAUUACUGGGCGUAAAGCGUGCGUAGGUGGUUUGUUAAGUCUGUUGUGAAAGCCCCGGGCUCAACCUGGGAAUGGCAAUGGAUACUGGCAGGCUAGAGUGCGGUAGAGGGUAGUGGAAUUCCCGGUGUAGCGGUGAAAUGCGUAGAUAUCAGGAGGAGCACCUGUGGCGAAAGCGGCUCACUGGACCAUUACUGACGCUGAUGCGCGAAAGCUAGGGGGAGCAAACAGG